rnacentral:tRNA from 1 species
GGGGUUGUGGCUCAAUGGCAGAGCACUUACCUAGCAUGUGUGAGGCACUGGGUUCAAUUCUCAGCACCACA